CGCUGGCGGCGUGCCUAACACAUGCAAGUCGAGCGGAGUUAACAAGAGGAAGUUUCGGAUGGAAUUUGUUAAUUAGCGGCGGACGGGUGAGUAACGCGUGAGCGACCAACCUUGCACAGGGGGAUAACGGACCGAAAGGUUCACUAAUACCGCAUGAGACCACGGUGUUGCAUGACACAGAGGUCAAAGGAGCAAUCCGGUGCAAGACGGGCUCGCGUCCGAUUAGGUAGUUGGUGGGGUAAUGGCCCACCAAGCCUAUGAUCGGUAGCCGACCUGAGAGGGUGAUCGGCCACAUUGGAACUGAGAUACGGUCCAAACUCCUACGGGAGGCAGCAGUGGGGAAUAUUGGGCAAAUGGGGGAAACCCUGACCCAGCAACGCCGCGUGAAGGAAGAAGGUUUUCGGAUUGUAAACUUCUGUCCUUGGUGAAGAGAAGAAGACGGUAGCCAAGGAGGAAGCCCCGGCUAACUACGUGCCAGCAGCCGC
rnacentral:rRNA from 1 species